rnacentral:sRNA from 1 species
UUGCCACUUCCAGCAGGUAAGACCCACCUGUCCCACUCUCUUUCGUGGCUUCUUGACCAGAUCUGCUCUGACUUCAUGUUCUCUCAAGCUUUAGCCUGUGAGGAGGAUGUGAGCGGGACUGAGUCAGGAGCCCUCUGGAAGCAUGGAGACUGUGGUGAUUGUUGCCAUAGGUGUGCUGGCCACCAUCUUUCUGGCUUCGUUUGCAGCCUUGGUGCUGGUUUGCAGGCAGCGCUACUGCCGGCCGCGAGACCUGCUGCAGCGCUAUGAUUCUAAGCCCAUUGUGGACCUCAUUGGUGCCAUGGAGACCCAGUCUGAGCCCUCUGAGUUAGAACUGGACGAUGUCGUUAUCACCAACCCCCACAUUGAGGCCAUUCUGGAGAAUGAAGACUGGAUCGAAGAUGCCUCGGGUCUCAUGUCCCACUGCAUUGCCAUCUUGAAGAUUUGUCACACUCUGACAGAGAAGCUUGUUGCCAUGACAAUGGGCUCUGGGGCCAAGAUGAAGACUUCAGCCAGUGUCAGCGACAUCAUUGUGGUGGCCAAGCGGAUCAGCCCCAGGUGAGCGAUUGGCGGCUUCGA